GAUAAUUGAUAGUUCCCAUGAUAGUCUAUCUCUUAUCGACGGAGUCAUUUGGCACCUCGAUGUCGACUCAUCACAUCCUGGGGUUGAAGAAGGUCCCAAGGGUUCGGUUGUUCGCCGAUGAAAGUGGUACGUGAGUUGGGUUUAGAACAUCGUGAGACAGUUC
rnacentral:rRNA from 1 species